AGUAAGGAAUAUUGGGCAAUGGACGAAAGUCUGACCCAGCCAUGCCGCGUGAAGGAUUAAGGUCCUCUGGAUUGUAAACUUCUUUUCUCUGGGGCGAAAACCAGCUAUUCUUAGCUAUUUGACAGUACCAGAGGAAUAAGCACCGGCUAACUCCGUGCCAGCAGCCGCGGUAAUACGGAGGGUGCAAGCGUUAUCCGGAUUCACUGGGUUUAAAGGGUGCGUAGGUGGGCUAGUAAGUCCGUGGUGAAAUCCCCGAGCUUAACUUGGGAACUGCCAUUGAUACUAUUAGUCUUGAAUAUCGUGGAGGUAAGCGGAAUAUGUCAUGUAGCGGUGAAAUGCUUAGAUAUGACAUAGAACACCAAUUGCGAAGGCAGCUUGCUACACGGUCAUUGACACUGAGGCACGAAAGCGUGGGGAGCAAA
rnacentral:rRNA from 1 species